UAAUAAAAUAAAGGUGGUGCAGUAUCCUAGUCAGUUCUGUUAAUUUGUAAGGUGGGCCUAAAAAUCCACUAAAGGGCAUAUCGAUGAAGUUCCUUGUGUUUGCUUCUUACGCCCAGUCUGGGGCAGAUGCUGGGAGUUAAGGUUUAAGGGCGAUCCGCAAUGGCAUGCGGGCGUUGACCCUUUUUCCGUGGAGACCGGAACAUGUAAUUUUUGGGUGAGGGACUGUACAGAUGCAGUUUGCUGUGCGGUUGCCUUGCUCAUGCCGCAAGGUGCCGUCUUUUGCGACGGCUAAAUUACGGUUCAGGAUAAAACCUGCUUUGCGGUGUGGGUAAACAACACGCUGUGAGCAGUGUAGCCUGCCUUGAGUGGCUAUGGUGAAUGAUAGUUCACAUCGGUGUGUAACGGCCAUUACACACUCGGUUAUUGCAUCUGAAACCAUAUCUGCAAAAGAGGCUAAGAGUUAAUACGACUGCGAGGAAAACUCCUAGGCUGUUUUAUGCGGAGGAUUGCAGUACGGACUGAGUGGUAAUCCGGCAAUGCCGUUGGCGACACGGCAAACGCGGCUUUAAAAGGGAACUUCCGUUUUGGCGACGAAGCGGAAGCCGCGUGGGAAAUCCGGCCGGACCUAAGCCGUAAAUUUUACUCCGCGUAUUACCACCAUUUUAUUUUU
rnacentral:sRNA from 1 species